GAUGAACGCUGGCGGCGUGCCUAAUACAUGCAAGUCGAGCGAACAGAUGAGGAGCUUGCUCCUCUGACGUUAGCGGCGGACGGGUGAGUAACACGUGGAUAACCUACCUAUAAGACUGGGAUAACUUCGGGAAACCGGAGCUAAUACCGGAAAAUAUAUUGAACCGCAUGGUUCAAUAGUGAAAGACGGUUUUGCUGUCACUAAUAGAUGGAUCCGCGCCGCAUUAGCUAGUUGGUAAGGUAACGGCUUACCAAGGCAACGAUGCGUAGCCGACCUGAGAGGGUGAUCGGCCACACUGGAACUGAGACACGGUCCAGACUCCUACGGGAGGCAGCAGUAGGGAAUCUUCCGCAAUGGGCGAAAGCCUGACGGAGCAACGCCGCGUGAGUGAUGAAGGUCUUCGGAUCGUAAAACUCUGUUAUUAGGGAAGAACAAAUGUGUAAGUAACUAUGCACGUCUUGACGGUACCUAAUCAGAAAGCCACGGCUAACUACGUG
rnacentral:rRNA from 1 species